rnacentral:tRNA from 8 species
GGGGCCGUAGUUCAGUUGGUUAGAAUGCCUGACUGUCGAUCAGGAGGUCGCGAGUUCGAGUCUCGUCGGCCCCGCCA